GAUGAAGAACGUAUCGAAAUGCGAUAAGUAAUGUGAAUUGCAGAAUUCAGUGAAUCAUCGAAUCUUUGAACGCACAUUGCGCCCUUUGGUAUUCCGAAGGGCAUGCCUGUUCGAGCGUCAUUAUAACCACUCAAGCUCUCGCUUGGUAUUGGGGUUCGCGGUCUCGCGGCCCCUAAAAUCAGUGGCGGUGCCUGUCGGCUCUACGCGUAGUAAUACUCCUCGCGAUUGAGUCCGGUAGGUGACUUGCCAGCAACCCCCAAAUUUUUCAGGUUGACCUCGGAUCAGGUAGGGAUACCCGCUGAACUUAAGCAUAUCAAUAAGCGGAGGA
rnacentral:misc_RNA from 1 species